rfam:Zea mays cultivar B73 chromosome 7, whole genome shotgun sequence.
GCACUCUAGCUCAGUCGGUAGAGCGCAAGACUCUUAACCUUGUGGUCGUGGGUUCAAGCCCUACGAUGGGCA